UGCACGAAAACCCUCAUCUCCAUCAUCCUGUGGCCUUGACCGUCAGUGAUAACCGAGGAGCCCGUACCUGAAGUCGUGUCGAUCUCCCCAUCCUGCUCCUUGUAGCUGCUGACCUGUCCGUGCCAUCGCGCUGAGCCUGCGAGACGAAGCCUGCCCCUUUGCCCACGUGUGCAAAGUAAAUGGCAUUUCAGAGCCUUUCGCCCACGAGCAACCACUUCUGCAGGCACUCCUUCAUCCCGCUGCCUUGCCUCCAACCAACAGACCGAUGAAAGACCAGGGUAGGAAAACAGAAAUACCCACCUUCUGAGGAUGAAGCCAGGGGAGACACCUGGAGCUGGUAGAGGUCAUUGGUGCUGUCAGCCAUGGUGAUUUCCAUCGGCGGCCUCCAGUCGGUCAGCGAGCCGCUCACCUCGCAGGGGGAGAGGUCUGCGGGAUGCACCAGGAGUUGUUGGCACUCACAGGAGAGACACAACCACCUCUAUUUCCUCCCUGCCCGCCCGACGGCGCAGCCGGGCCCAGCCCCAAGAGUCAGCUUUGUCUUUUGGCACAGAGGUUGUGGGUUUAGCUCGAACGGCACUUUCCACUCUGCUCAGAGAGCUAAAAACUGAGUCUCACCUAAGGUGAUGGACGUGCUCUCAACCUCCACUUCCUGCCCCGCGUAGUCAUGAACGGUGUAGCUACUGUGGUCAUC